rnacentral:sRNA from 1 species
GGACUCACUCUGUCACCAAGGCUGGAGUAUAGUGGCACAAUCAUGGCUCACUGCAGCCUCAACCUCCUGGGCUGAAGUAGUUCUCCCACCUCAGCCUCCCAAGUAACUGGGACUACAGGUGCAUGCCACCAUGCUCAGCAACUUUUUGUAUUUUUUGUAGUAACGGGGUCUCACUAUGUGGGCCAGGCUGGUCUUGAACUCCUGGACUCAAGAAGACCUGCCUCAGCCUCCCAAAGUGCCAAGAUUACAAGCAUGAGCCACUGCAUCUGGCUGAUUCCUUAGUUUUCUUUUUCUCUUUGCCCAUUCCGUGGAUUCCAUAAGCAGAAGGAAAACCCAGGGGAUGACUUUGUAGGCAAGACUCUUUCCUCUUCAAAACAUAAAUUGGUUCAAGUGGUAACAAAACUGAAACAUGUUUAUAACCUAACAUCUUUUCUUCCUACCCCUUCAAUCUCCUGAGCAAUGAGAAAAGUUACUGGUUCUUUAGUUGUGUAGGGAAAAGAGAGAUCAGACUGUCACUGUGUCUAUGUAGAAAGGGAAGACAUAAGAGACUCCAUUUUGAAAAGGACCUGUACUUUAAAUAAUUGCUUUGCUUAGAUGUUGUUAAUUUGUUGCUUUGCCCCACCCACUUUGACCCAACCUGGAGCUCACAAAAAUAUGUGUUGUAUGAAAUCAAGUUUAAGGGAUCUAGGGCUGUGCAGGACGUGCCUUGUUAACAAAAUGUUUACAAGCAGUAUACUUGGUAAAAGUCAUCGCCAUUCUCUAGUCUCAACAAACCAGGGGCAUAAUACACUGUGGAAAGCCGCAGCGACCUCUGCCCUUGAGAGCAAGGUAUUGUCCAAGGUUUCUCCCCAUGUGAUAGUCUGAAAUAUGGCCUCAUGGGAUGAGAAAGACCUGACUGUCCCCCAGCCCGAUACCCGUAAAGGGUCUGUGCUGAGGUGGAUUAGUAAAAGAGGAAAGCCUCUUGCAGUUGAGAUGGAGGAAGGCCACUGUCUCCUGCUUGCCCCUGGGAACUGAAUGUCUCGGUGUAAAACCCGAUUGUAUGUUGUUCAACUCUGAGAUAGGAGAAAAGCUGCCCUGUGGCAGGAAGCGAGACAUGUUUGCAGUAAUGCUGCCUUGUUAUUCUUUACUCCACUGAGACGUUUGGGUGGAGAGACACAUAAAUCUGGCCUACGUGCACAUCCAGGCAUAGUACCUUCCCUUGAACUUAAUUAUGAUAUAGAUUCUUUUGCUCACAUGUUUUUUGUUCACUUUCUCCUUAUUAUCACCCUGCUCUCCUACUACAUUUCUUUUUGCUGAAAUAAUGAAAAUCAUAAUCAAUAAAAACUGAGGGAACUCAGAGGCCGGUGCCUGUGCAGGUCCUUGGUGUGCUGAGUGCCGAUCCCCUGGGCCCACUGUUGUUUCUCUAUACUUUGUGUCUUAUUUAUUUUCCCGUCUCUCAUCCCACCCGACUUGAAAUACCCACAGGUAUGGAGGGGCAGGCCAUCCCUUCAUCUGGUGCCCAGCGUGGGGCCCUUCUCUAGGGUGAAGGUACCCUAAGAACGUGAGCAUUGAGGACAGCCGACGAGAGAUUCCCGAGUACGUCCACAGUCAGUCUUGCGGUAAGCUUGUGCGCUCGGAGGAAUCCAGGGUAACAAUGGGGCAAACUGAAAGUAAAUAUGCUUCUUAUCUCAGCUUCAUUAAAAUUCUCUUAAGAAGAGGGGGAGUUAAAGCUUCUACAGAAAAUCUAGUUAUGCUAUUUCAAGCAAUAGAACAAUUCUGCCCAUGGUUUCCAGAACAGGGAAUUUUAGAUUUAAAAGAUGGGGAAAAAAUUGGCAAAGAACUAAAACAAGCAACUAGGGAAGGUAAGAUCAUCCCACUUACAGCAUGGAAUGAUUGGGCCAUUAUUAAAGCAACUUUAGAACAAUUUCAAAUAGAAGAAGAUGGCGUUUCAGUCUUUGAUGCCCCUGAAAGCUGUGUAAUAGAUUGUGAAGAAGAGGCAGGAACAGACUUUAAGAAAGGAAUGGAAAGUACACAUUGUAAAAAUGCAGUAGAGCCUGUAAUGGUUCGGUCAAUGCAAAAUGUUGACUAUAAUCAAUUACAGGAGGUAAUGUAUCCUGAAUCAUCAAAAUUGGGGGAAGGAGGUCCAGAAUUAUUUGGGCCAUCAGAGUUUAGACCAAGAUGGCCACCAACCCCUUCUCCCGCGGUUCAGAUGCCUGUGAUGUCACAAUCUCAAAUGCCAAUCGAGGCACAGUAUCCGCAAUACCAGCCAGUAGAAAAUAAAACCCAACCAUCGGUAGUUUAUCAACACCAGCCGCCAGCCGAAUUUCAGUAUCCAGAGGUUCUGUAUGGAUCUCAGGAGGUGCAUCCUGUGCCAAAUAGCAAGGCACUAUAUCAAGAACCCACGGCGAUGGCGUUUGAUCUUACAGUACCACCUAGUGGACAAGAAAGUGCACUGCAUGAGACCAUUGCUACAGCCAGAAAACAGGGAGAUCUUGAGGCAUGGCAAUAUCCGGGAAUGUUACAACCGAUGCCGGCCAGGAAAGGGAGUCAAGCAGGAGCGUCUGUCUGAACUGAGACCAGAUAUGAAUCCUUCACCACAAAAAUGUUAAAAGAUAUGAAGGAAGGAGUUAAACAAUAUGGACCUAACUCUCCUUAUAUGAGAACAUUAUUAGAUUCCAUUGCUCAUGGAAAUAGACUUAUUCCUUAUAAUUGGGAAAUUUUGGCUAAAUCUUCCCUUUCACCCUCUCAGUAUCUACAGUUUAAACCCUGGUGGAUUGAUGGGGUACAUGAACAGGUAUGAAAAAAUCAGGCUACUAAUCCUGUUGCUUAUAUAGAUGCAGACCAAUUACUAGGAACAGGUCCAAAUUGGGGCACUAUUAACCAACAAUCAGUAAUGCAAAAUGAGGCUACUGAACAACUAAGGGCUAUUGCCUCAGGGCCUGGGAAAAGAUUCAGGACCCAGGAACCUCCUGCUCUGCUUUUAGUUCAAUCAGACAAGGCUCUAAAUAUCCAUAUCCAGACUUUGUGGCAAGGUUGCAAGAUGCAGCUCAAAAAUCCAUUGCAGAUAAUAACGCCCGAAAAGUUAUUGUAGAAAUAAUAGCUUAUCAAAAUGCAAAUCCAGAAUGUCAAUCGGCCAUAAAGCCAUUAAGAGGAAAGGUUUCAGCAGGAGUUGAUGUAAUUACAGAAUAUGUGAAGGCUUGUGAUGGGAUUGGAGGAGCUAUGCGUAAGGCAAUGUUAUUGGCUCAAGCAAUUACAGGGGUUGCUUUAGGAGGACAAGUUAAAACAUUUGGGGGAAAAUGUUAUAAUUGUGGUCAAAUCUGACAUCUAAAAAAGAAUUGCCCAGGC